rnacentral:lncRNA from 10 species
UUUGCUAGCUCUUUUCCAUAUGCUACACUAUGGGGUUCCAGAUUAAAGUCCUGAACUUACUGCUUCCUAGAUUGUGAUUUUGAGCAAGAUAACUACUUUUUUACACCUUUUUUUUCUUCUAACAUGGAGGUCAAUAUAAAGCACAACUGUGUGACAUUAUCGUGAAGGAUAAAUAAGGCAGAACUGAGAGGUGCUCCAUGCUGCUGCCUCACUGGAUCAUCUGGCAGGUACUGCUGAGGCCUACUCAGUGAGUGACCACACUCAAUGAGCCAUCAUGAUGGAGGCUUCUCCGAGAGCACUCUCUCAAUCAAGAGUUCCCAUCUCAGGAUCUGCUCCUACAAGACCCAACUUAGGAUAGUAAUGAUGUUUAUCACUUAUUUAUCUUGUUCCAUAUAUUAUGGGAUCCUUGGGGUGUUGCUUCACCAGCCAGGAGCCACUGUGGACAGUGGUGCCUUUGCCUGAGUUUUCUUCAGGCCCACUGGGCCCACUCAACCUGGUGGACUGUGCUUGGUUUGCGCUACUGGCCUGGAUCCCAUGCCUGCCAAGGGUGAGUGGAGUGCUGAGGGGUAUGUGAGCAAGCAUGGGGUCCAGCCACUGCACACAGCCAGGUUCCUUGAGGGCUAUGGUGGGGUGGGCAGCUCCAGGCACUGGCAUGGGCUCUGGCUCCCUGCAAGGCUGUGGCUGGACCAGGCGUAACGCUAGCAGCUUCCAUGGCUGGCACCGGAGAAACACAUUGUCACCCAGAAGCUUGGAGAUGCCAGGAACGAAAGAAUUCCAAAGAGGGUGUCACAGCCCUGGCUUGGAGAACUCCUAGGUCUGGGCUUCCUGAAGGGCUGCAGCUCUUCUCUCCUUCUUGUCCCCAGUAAUGUGGCAAGCAAGGGGUGUGUUUCAACUCUGUUGACUUCCAGGGCCACCGACAGUGCAGAGGUGGCCAGAUCCGCAGCCACAGCUUGGACGGCUGCUGCUGCACCCAGGAGGGCAGGUCUCUUGCCUGCUGUCUACCCGCAAGAGCAGAGGGAUGCCUGGGUCUGCAGGGGCAACUAGGUGCCUGCAACUGCGCCCAGGGAUCGAGAGGCUCCAUCCUGCCAGCUCGGAAGGGGGUAGGGCUUCCUCCUGUUCCUGGCUCCCACCAGCUGGGUACACAUGAAGCCCAAGCUGCACCUCCCCUACUGCUGCUGGCAUCAUGGCAGCAGCCGCGUCUGGGGCCACCACUGCCAUCACAUAGAUGCCAUAUUGCUACUCAUUGAAAUUACUAAAGAGGUGUCUUUUAAAAUACUGUUUGGCUGGUUUCUUCAUUAAAUUAUUUCUUCAAUCAUUUUCUUCCUGUUUUUUCAUAAUUUAAUAGUUUUCUUUACUUAUUUUGUUCAGUAUUUAAUCAUAGUCCCUGUGUUCUUUGGUUCUCCUCUCUAUGGAUUCUACCUAAGAAUUUGCCAACAAUCACGGUAUGUCAGUUUCCUUGUUCUUUGCACAUUCUUCUUGGGUACUGUUGAAAACUUUAGUACAUAACCAAUAAGGCAGGUUGGGAUAAGUGAUUUCAGGCUAAUUCUUGGUGCAUAAGUGGUACCUCUUUGGUGUAUUUCUGCUUUAAGAGAUGGUCUUAUUUUAUCCUCUGCCUUUCUUCUUAUAUUUCCAACUUUAAUAAGUACAAUUUCUAGUAUCCAGGGGUACCUCAUGGUCCUUUCAUUUUUUAACUCAUUUUGUUCUCAAGGACUUUACCCUUCCACCAGCAUUUUAAUCUACAUGUCCUCUUCACAGAGCAGGUCCAUUGUUAUCUGUCAGCCACAAUGUCUGCAUGGAUGUGGAGCUGUAGAAGUGUACAUUAGAAGUAUUCUGAUCACACGAAAAGAAGUCCCCCCAAAUAGAUAGAGAGACUGGUUUUGCCUAAUAUCAUUUUAGUAGCCAGGUACCUAAUUUCUUUUUUUCUUUGUCUUUAUAGAAAUUUGAAAAGAAAAUUGGGGGGAGGGCAGAAUCAAACAAUACUAGCAAGAAACUUUUUAAAAUUAUAACCAAUCAAUUGCAUUUUGAUAUUUUUCAAUGUAGUGUUAACUUUAGCUACAUUUUCCCAAAGGAUAAAGACAAAUUCACACUCUCUACAUGCCCUGAGAACAUUCCUUAGGGAUAUGGUCAGCAACAUUCCCACCCUCCUCAUGCCCCAGUGAGAAUCUGUUCAACAUUUCUUCUCCAGUCUUCUAUUAUAUAGAUAUAUUUUGGAGAUUGGAGGGGUCCAACGGUACAAAACUCUAUACAAAAGCAUGCUAAACACUGUUCUAAACAUUAGAAUGAUAUAAGAAACCAUACAAUAUAGAGAUACAUGUAUCAUUAUAAAGUAUCUAGGUGAGAACACUCAAAUGAGAAGAUUUGCC